AGUGAACGCUGGCGGUAGGCCUAACACAUGCAAGUCGAACGGCAGCACAGUAAGAGCUUGCUCUUACGGGUGGCGAGUGGCGGACGGGUGAGGAAUACAUCGGAAUCUACUUUUUCGUGGGGGAUAACGUAGGGAAACUUACGCUAAUACCGCAUACGACCUACGGGUGAAAGCAGGGGAUCUUCGGACCUUGCGCGAUUGAAUGAGCCGAUGUCGGAUUAGCUAGUUGGCGGGGUAAAGGCCCACCAAGGCGACGAUCCGUAGCUGGUCUGAGAGGAUGAUCAGCCAAACUGGAACUGAGACACGGUCCAGACGCCUACGGGAGGCAGCAGUGGGGAAUAUUGGACAAUGGGCGCAAGCCUGAUCCAGCCAUACCGCGUGGGUGAAGAAGGCCUUCGGGUUGUAAAGCCCUUUUGUUGGGAAAGAAAAGCAGCAGGUUAAUACCCCGCUGUUCUGACGGUACCCAAAGAAUAAGCACCGGCUAACUUCGUG
rnacentral:rRNA from 1 species